CGAAGGGUGCAAGCGUUACUCGGAAUUACUGGGCGUAAAGCGUGCGUAGGUGGUUCGUUAAGUCUGAUGUGAAAGCCCUGGGCGUCAACCUGGGAACGGGCAUUGGAGUACUGGCGGAUCUGGAGGUGCGGUAGAGGGUGGCGGAAUUCCCGGUGUAGCAGUGAAAUAGCGUAGAUAUCGGGAGGAACAUCCGUGGCGAAGGCGGCCACCUGGACCAGCACUGACACUGAGGCACGAAAGCGUGGGGGAGGCAAACAGGAUU
rnacentral:rRNA from 1 species